rnacentral:hammerhead_ribozyme from 1 species
AUCCAAGUGACGAGUCUCAAAUAGGACGAAAUGCGCGUCCUGAAU